GCGCUCUUUGUUUUCUUCCUCUGCACAUUGGUUAGCACGUCAUUGCAGAAAAAUAACAAAUAUUCAUAUAGUUUAUACUCAUGGAGCAAAUUUAAUAUAUGUUAAGGUCCUUCAAAUAACUAGUCUCUGCGACUCACUUCACCUCUCUAUCAUUUUUCGAGGGAUAACGUGGAUAUUGCAGUUUUGCUAGCGAACGUUAACGUCGUUAAGCGAGCUAGCUAAGUUUUCAAACACUCUUCAGCAUGGACUUGUAUCACGUUUUGGAGAUGAUAGGAGAGGGCUCGUUUGGACGAGUGUAUAAAGGACGUAAAAAGUUCAGUGGCCAAGUCGUGGCACUUAAGUUUAUCCCCAAGGUGGGCCGUUCUGAGAAGGAGCUGCGCAAUCUCAAAAGGGAAAUUGACAUCAUGAGGGGACUUGAACAUCCGAACAUUGUCCUGCUCUUAGACAGCUUUGAGACCGAAAGAGAGGUUGUUGUUGUGACAGAGUAUGCAGAGGGAGAGUUGUUCCAGAUCCUUGAAGAUGAUGGUAACUUACCAGAGAGCCAGGUCCGUGAUAUUGCAUGCCAGCUGGUCUCUGCCUUGUAUUAUUUGCAUUCCCAUCGGAUUCUCCACCGUGACAUGAAACCACAGAACAUUCUGCUGGGUAAAGGAGGGGUGGUGAAGCUGUGUGAUUUUGGAUUUGCUAGAGCAAUGAGUGUGUCCACCCUGGUCCUGACCUCUAUCAAGGGGACGCCCCUCUACAUGUCCCCAGAACUGGUAGAGGAGAAGCCCUACGACCACACAGCUGACCUCUGGUCUCUGGGCUGCAUCCUCUAUGAGCUCCACACGGGGGCGCCACCCUUCUACACCAACUCCAUCUUUCAGCUGGUCCAGCUCAUAGUCAGAGACCCGGUCAAGUGGCCGGACACCAUGAGCCAGACCUGCAUGACUUUCCUGAAAGGUUUGUUGACCAAAGACCCACAGAAGAGGUUGUCAUGGCCACACCUCCUAAAACACCCAUUUGUUGCUGAUGGAGUUCUAGUUCUCUCAGACCCCGUUGUGUCCAGCCCGCUAACAGUGGCCGCCAGCCCAGACCUGCAGGUGCUGAAACUCCAGCAGGCAGUACAAAAAGCAGCACCACAUGGUGGAGAGGGGAGGUUACUGCACAAGGCCAGGGAACAGAGGGACAAGAGGAACAGACAGGUGGGAAACGGAAACGGAAAAACUGAAUCAUCUAGUCGGGCACUUUCAAGGACAGCCCCUGUAGUGAAGCCCCUGUCCAGUGACAGCCUGGUGGCUCCCUCAGAUGGUUUGGAUCAAGAUCUGUCACAAUUAACCGCCAAUCUGAGCCUUACCCCAAAACAGUCUGCCAUUGAGAUUUCCACUAACAGGGGUUUCCCCCGUGUCCCCAGCAGGGGUCAGAUCAGCCGGGACUACGAACAGGAGUUCCCCUCUGUGGAGGUUGGCCCCCGACAGGCCCUGAGGCGACCUGAGACUCAGGAGCGGGGCCAGGCCAGGACCAGCCUGAGUGCUGUGAGGCUCCACAGCCAGGAUGUUGACAGUGAUGAGGAGUGGGAGAGGUUGAUCCAGCAGACCUCCGUUUCCAGCGGCCAAACCAUACAAAUCAUACCUCGAUUGAAAGAGAAGUUGCUGACAUCCAAAACCCUGCUAUUGGAUGGUAUCCUGGAGGGGGCAUGUCAGAUCCGUCAGCCACUGAAGGUCCUGUCCAACCUGAUCUUGACCUCCGACUCAGAGGACUCCCAUCGACUUAGACAGGAAGUUGGACUACCUAAUUUCCUGUUCAACCUAGUCCAGGAUAUUGUGGAGAAUCCAGUGGUCGUUAAGCAACCAUGGAGUGUGACAGUACUGGGGGAAGUUAUUGUUCUACUCUUGAACUAUUGGGAGAAGCACCGUGACUGGCAACAAGCAGAGAACAGACUGGAAGAUUACGCCAUGCCCUUUUUCAAGAUUCUUCUUCGGCCUGACCCUAACCCAUUGGCACCUCUGGCUGCAGCCAUUCUGGCCAUAUUCAGCCAGUGUGGAGUCUCUGUGGUUGUUAGCAUGGACAGGAUCACUACCCAGCUCAACAAGCUUCUCUCAGACUCCGAUGAGCCACGCGUCCCGUUACCAUCAGGCUGGGGGUUCUGUGAUGGCUUCUUGUCAUUGGUUCUCCACACCCUAAUUGAGCAUGAAAGUCCUCCACACUCUGCUUCUUUGGAUCCAAGCAUUCUGCGCCUCCUGUGGGUGAAAGUUGGUACUUCACUGGAGAAAACAUCAGCCAGAACAAAGUUCUGCUCCUCAAAUGGACUGUAUGUGUUCCUGUCCCUCGCCCUUUUUGUCCUUACCAGGGACCCGUACUGCUGUGUUCCCCUGUUCUCAGACAGCGACACAAACUGCAUACUCACCCUGGGCCACCUGCUCACCACUGAUUGUGUUUCCAGGCCGUCUGACGAGACUCACGGCCAGCUUUGGGGUUGUGACUCCAGUGUGAACAGCCUAUCGGUGUUGAGCUGCCACCUGCUGUGUUUCCCCUUUGCCCUGGACCUGUCCUCAGAGACCAUGGACAGACUACUCCAGCUGUACCACAGCGCUGGCAUUGUCUCUGGCCUGCUGCAGGUUAUCCAGUCCGUUCCUCCAUCUCUCCUGGAACUGCCUCUCUCUCUGCUAUGUCGCCUACUGCUGUGUGACCCCGGCCGCUCUGUCCCCUGCUUCACAGCCGCCGCCAGGGCCCAAGGCUUCUUCUCUCAACCCAGCAGUGACCCCAAGGAGGAUAGAAGAGACCAGGCCCCAGCCUCCAGGGUCAGGGACCAGGCUGGGCACCCAGUGUCUGUAUCUAGGACUGCCAGCUCCCUUCUCUCUGACCUGCUAAAGCCUGAAAGUGAAGCCCUGUGGGGGUCGGCCGUAGAGCUCUUCACCCUACUAUCCCAGGUUGCCCGCUGCUCCCCCAGGUCCCGACCCUCCACCCCUCAUAUCUACCUGGAUCCUGCUCCCCUGCACCAGGCCCUGGCUCACCCAGACGACAGGGUCAGAGCUGCUGCCUGUAGCCUGCUAGGUAACCUGGACCCGUUUACACCUCAUACUCCUCCCUCCACCAGUGACCCACAAUGGACCCGGCUGCAACCCGCCAUCCUCAGAGACAUAAUUGGCUGUCUCCACGACCCCUCCACGUCUGUACGGAGGAUGGCCUGCAAGGCCGUGGGCAAUUGGCUGGGGCUUAUUGGAAAGGCAGAGUUUAGAACACGGCGAGCCAAUGUGAGAGAGAACAGUAGUGCCCCUAUUACUGCCCGGGACAGGAAGAAGGGCAAGUCAGACAAGACUGUGUCCUCCCAGUCCCUGGUAGGAGACGGAGGAGACUCAUCCACAACACUCAAACAGCAAGUAGCAGACCAGGGGGGUGGGCGUGGAUGGGUCGCGGAAGCCAAUUGGGCAACAACUGAGCUACUCUCCCUCAUAGCGGACCCUGAUGCCCUGACGCGCCGCCACUGCUGCGCUGCCCUGGGCAACAUGGCUGCUGUGGAAGGGGGUGUGGCCUCACUGCUGGAGGGAGACGUGCCCCUUCUCCUCCUACAGGCCGCCUGUACCGACUCCCAGCAUACAGUCCAACAAGCGGCUGUCGCUACCCUGAGCUUAUACAGCCAACAGGAUGCACUACGACAGGCUCUGCUGUCCCUUGAUGCACGUGAGAAACUUCGUCAGGCUUCACAGCAUGUCGCACCUCCACAGUGUGACUACUGUCAGAUCAUCAAGCUGCUAUGAAGUCCAAUGCAGCGAGUGAGAGAAUAGUGUGUCUAUUUGAAAAUGACACCCUCUGGAGUGAAUACUGGGUCCAUCUCACAUGGAAUGACUGGUUGCACUUGUUUGAAAAAAUGUAUAAAUAUAUAUGCUACAGAAAGUCUUCGUCAUCUUAUCUUCAUCAUCAGGCGUCGGUGUCCGGUUGCUUGAGCCGCUGACUGCGGGCCUUGUACACUUCGAUCAGUAGGUCUUUAACAUACUGGAUCUCCCUCUCCACUGACUCUGCUUUGUCCCGAAGUUCCCGGUUAUGCCCCUCCAGACCGUGCAGCUGCUCCUCAAGGCAGUCCAGCUCUGCCCUUUUACGUUGGCGAUACCUGGUAGGGUGGGGUCAAACGGGAGAUAUAGGAUUAAUCUUAGUGAAAUCAAAGUCAAAAAGUGGCAAUGUUCUAUUUAGUUCUGUUAUCAACAAAUCAGACAACAAAAUUUGGAUAACCACAAACCUGUCAAUUUAGAGUUGAGAGAAGCACACACAACUCAGACUUUCGCUAAAAUCAUUUAUUGAUGUCAAUGGGAGACUUGUGUAGAAAUUGUGCGCAGAGCUCAAAUUUGAACACCACCUUAAGUUUUCAGCGCUUGGUUGAAUCAUCAUACCUAUGAGCGGCAGUCUUGUUUUGGUCUCUCUUCUUCUGCUUGCGCUCUGGUGGGUGGUGGACCUCCCCUGGCAUUGUUUCGUCCAGCUCAGGCUUCGCGAGGGGACAGGGGUCCUGCUUCAACCCCAACAUCACCUGCCUGUCAAGAGCCUCCCUAUCCAUUGCCAGACACUCAGAGCCCUGCUGGUCCUCUAGGAACCCACCACAGUGGAAGUCAUGAUGUUGACGGCCCAUCUCUAAACCCUCUGCCUUGACCUGCUCGCUGACCGUCCCUUGGAAGCCGUGGUGGUAGGAGGCCUCUGAUUGGGACGCUGCCUGAAGAUAACAACCCUCACUAGUCUCUGUCUUCCAAGGAAUAGUGGACAUCUUGGAAGACAACUCAUCGACUACGCCAACUUUGACAUUACUACUCAACAAUUCUAUCUCACUGCUACUAGCACAUCCUCCACCACCACAACUGACAUUCACUUCUCUCAUGCCAUACAUCAACAGCUCCUCUUUCUUGUGUGGGAUAUCCAGCGGCCCGCCAAAGCCACCAUACCCACUGCCAACAGCUAUGACCUCUUCCGCGAACUGACAAUUUUUCUCU